rnacentral:rRNA from 1 species
AUCAACGCUGGCGGCGUGCCUAACACAUGCAAGUCGAACGCGACUGGGGCUUCGGCCUCAGUUGAGUGGCGAACGGGUGAGUAACACGUGGGUGACCUACCUUCGAAUGGGGGAUAACGUCCCGAAAGGGACGCUAAUACCGCAUAACAUCCUGCCUUUGAACAGGCGGAGAUCAAAGCCGGGGAUCGCAAGACCUGGCGUUUGAAGAGGGGCCUGCGUCCGAUUAGCUAGUUGGUGAGGAACGGCUCACCAAGGCGACGAUCGGUAGCCGGCCUGAGAGGGCGGACGGCCACACUGGGACUGAGACGCGGCCCAGACUCCUACGGGAGGCAGCAGUGGGGAAUUGUUCGCAAUGGGCGCAAGCCUGACGACGCAACGCCGCGUGGAGGAUGAAGGUCUUCGGAUUGUAAACUCCUGUUGCCCGGGACGAAUAGCUCCGACCUAACACGUCGGAGUCUGACGGUACCGGGUGAGGAAGCCCCGGCUAACUCUGUGCCAGCCGCCGCAGUAA